UGCGUGGGCGGCGUCAUAAGUCAGGGGUGAAAGCCCACAGCUCAACUGUGGAAUUGCCUUUGAUACUGUGGUGCUUGAAUCAGGUUGAGGUAGGCGGAAUGUGGCAUGUAGCGGUGAAAUGCUUAGAUAUGCCAUAGAACACCGAUUGCGAAGGCAGCUUACUGGACCUGCAUUGACGCUGAGGCACGAAAGCGUGGGGAGCGAACAGGAUUAGAUACCCUGGUAGUCC
rnacentral:rRNA from 1 species